UAAGGCAUGCCAACCUGGAUGCACUUGGCCGUGUCUGAUCUCAGAAGCUAAGCAGGGAUGGGCCUGGUUCGUACCUGGAUGAGCGAAAUGACAGCUCAAGUGGACGUUUGAUUUGAAGCCUGGCUAAGCCAGAC
rnacentral:rRNA from 1 species